rnacentral:rRNA from 1 species
GGGGAAUUUUCCGCAAUGGGGGCAACCCUGACGGAGCAACGCCGCGUGGGGGAGGAAUGUCUGUGGAUUGUAAACCCCUUUUCUCAGGGAAGAAGUUCUGACGGUACCUGAGGAAUCAGCAUCGGCUAACUCCGUGCCAGCAGCCGCGGUAAGACGGAGGAUGCAAGCGUUAUCCGGAAUUAUUGGGCGUAAAGCGUCCGUAGGCGGUUAGACAAGUCUGCUGUCAAAGACUGCAGCUCAACUGUGGGCCGGCAGUGGAAACUGUUUAACUUGAGUAUGGUAGGGGUAGAGGGAAUUCCCAGUGUAGCGGUGAAAUGCGUAGAUAUUGGGAAGAACACCAGUGGCGAAGGCGCUCUACUGGGCCAUAACUGACGC